rnacentral:rRNA from 1 species
UACGAAGGGGGCGAGCGUUUGUUCGGAUUUACUGGGCGUAAAGGGCGCGUAGGCGGCGGGUCAAGUCGAGUGUGAAAGCCCCGGGCUCAACCUGGGAAUUGCGCUCGAGACUGGUCUGCUUGGUCGGUGAGAGGAGAGUGGAAUUCCCAGUGUAGAGGUGAAAUUCGUAGAUAUUGGGAAGAACACCGGUGGCGAAGGCGGCUCUCUGGACCGAGACUGACGCUGAGGCGCGAAAGCGUGGGGAGCAAACAGG